rnacentral:misc_RNA from 1 species
AAAGUCGUAACAAGGUCUCCGUUGGUGAACCAGCGGAGGGAUCAUUACCGAGUUUUCAACUCCCAAACCAUUGUGAACCAUACCACUGUUGCCUCGGCGGCCGGCCCCAGGUGCCCCUGAGAGGGGACGCCUGGAUCCAGGUCGCCGCCGGGGGUCCAGCUAAACUCUGUCUCCAACGUCGUAUAACGCUGAGUCGCCUGCAUAGCAGGCUCUUGAAUCAAAACUUUCAACAACGGAUCUCUUGGCUCUG